UACCGCGAGGAAAUUCCCUAACAAAUAAUACUCUCUCCCUCUCUCUCUCCUCUUUCUCUCUCUACACACUUUCUUCUCUCAUCGACCGCCUCAAUCCUCCUCUUUACCUCUGCAACUGCAAUCUCUGUCUCUCUCUCGCUCUCUCUUUCUCUCUGUAGAAUUCGAAUGCGGUAGCCAUCUCGUCCCUUACAGUGUCCACCGAGUUUCUUGAUUUCGAUGCUCUAACGACUCCACUUUCCGGCAAUUAUCACUCCGGUCGUUCUUGUCUGGAAACGCUCCAGCGUAUGAUGGUGGGUUUUUCUAGGGUUUUAGUUGAUUCAAUUUGAUUGUGAAACGGCCUCCGAAGAAGAAGACGUCGUCGUUGGUUGCCUAGGGAUUUUCGACGCCAUGGCUCCCGGGCGUAAACGUGGAGCCAGAGGUGCGAAGUCGACAAGUGAGUUGAGGUUGGGCGAUCUGGUCCUCGCCAAGGUCAAGGGCUUCCCUGCUUGGCCUGCAAAGAUUAGUAGACCUGAAGAUUGGGAUCGAGCUCCUGACCCUAAGAAAUAUUUUGUUCAAUUCUUUGGAACAGCAGAAAUAGCUUUUGUUGCCCCUGGGGAUAUUCAGGCAUUCACUAGUGAGUCAAAGAGUAAAUUGUCAGCUCGAUGCCAGGGUAAAACAGUUAAAUACUUCGCCCAAGCUGUAAAGGAAAUCUGUCAAGCAUUUGAAGAGUUGCAACAUAAAAAUUCUAGUGGUUUGAGAGAUGAUACUGAUAGAUCAGCUCUUGGGUGUGAGGCUCCUUCAGUUGAUGAGGUGGAAGAUUAUGCAGCAGAGAUUGACUUAAAAGCUGGGAUUAGUACAGAUGUACCAAAAGAAGAAACAGAGACUAGAGGGCUGAGUGAUCAUGGGUUUGGGUUGGAGCAGCAUAGAGAAGGUGAGAUGGAAUGCCGUGAUAUAAAGCCUAAUAUAUCAUGUAAUGCUAAUGACAGUUCUUCUCCAGUGAUAUCUUCUAAGAAAAAGAAUAAACUGUUCAAUGAUGGUCCUUAUAAAUCAAACAAGGAGGAGUUAUCUGGAUCCAGUCCGUAUAAUCUUUCCUGUAUGAAGGAAGAAGUCUCUUGUGAUAGCAAUGAAGAAGACAAAGUUUUCCGCUCUGAACGCUCAAAAGUUACCGAGGGCUUGGAUUUUAGUCAGGAUAAUAAUUUAUUUGAUGCAGAAGAAGAUUCUUCUAGUGGCCUGUUAUGCAAUAAAAAAGAGAGUUCACCUUUGGUUGCAUCAGUUCGUGGACAGAAGUCACUAACAAAUGGUCACAAGUCAGAGAAGAUGGUUAUUGGGUCAAAGAAGAAACACGAGGGUUCUUUUGAAGUACGCAAAAGUAGUAGUUCAUCUGCUCUCACGUCAUCGAGGUAUGAUAGUGCUUGUGGUCAUGUUGAUUUACCUAAAACCAUCGAGCGUACUAAAGAUGGAAUACAAAGAAAAAUUGACUCAGGCAGCAGCGUGAAGGAAUCAUCUCCAGUGGUUCGGAAAUCAGAUCUAGAUGUAAUUGGUGGAAAGAAAGCGAAGAAAUUACUGAAAGCUAAAAGACAAGUUGAGUUGGCAGAUGAUUCAGAGAAGGAUGCAGAUGGCAGUUCCGAUGAACAGGCCAAGGGCUACCUUUCUGACGGGAAAAAGAGGGCCCAGCUUGAAGUUUCACAUCCUGCCAAAAGGUCUAAACAUGCAGAUGUGGCUGAUGAAACUACCAGGGUACCGAUCCAAACAAACAGAAAAAGUGAUUCUCGAAGUUCUAAUGUUUUCGACAACAAAGCAGUUAAUGCAGAGCUUAAACGCUCUACAUUACGUUUGAAAUCUGAAAACCGUGUGGUGUCAAGAGUUUCUACUGGUAAUAUUGCAUCCAAUAUUCCUGGUGGUGAAGAUGUUCUACCACCAACUAAACGCCGUCGCCGGGCAUUAGAGGCUAUGUCUGAUUCCGCAACUACAAUUCCCGAAGAUAAAAAGGAAAAAAGUUCUGUUGCUCACAAAAAUGACGUUUCAGGUUCUGAUAAUGUUAAAUCCCCUGUGACUCAAUCGCACACGAAACGCAGAGCUGUUCGCCUGUUUGAUUAUGAUGAUGAUGAAGACCCAAAGACUCCGAUUCAUGGUGGGUCCGUCAAAAAGUCUCAGGCACCUUCCUGUGUAUCAAAUUCUACGAAGAAGAACACUGAUCCACAUCAUGAAAGUCCUAUUCAUGAUCAACCAAGUGUAAGAGGCUCAGGUGGAGCUGAUGAAAGCCCUUCGGAGGAAUGCCUACCUUCUACCAAACCACUUAAUGCUUCAUUGUCACCUAAUCCCCCUCGAACUGUAGAUGAGAGGCCUAAAAAGGCAAUUGCUCCACAAGUCUCCUUUAGCCCUGGUAAAACAGAAUCCGAGAGAGUGUAUUCCAAGGAGAUUAAAUCAGUACUGCUUUCGCCUAAAAUAUCUCCUUUGUCGGGUGCUGCUGCCAAACCGCUAGUUGAACCACAUAAAGUCAAUAAGCCCUCGAUUAAAUUAUCUGGUGGUACUAGUAUUCAGAAAAAAUCUCAAGCUGGGUCUAGUAAGAGCUCAGGAAAGGCUUCUGAUGGCUUAAAUUCUUCUCAAAAUCAACCAACAAAUCAAAGAAGUAAGCCACUAUCUUCAGGAGAGAGACAAAAAAGUACUCCGAAGUCAAAUACACGGAUGAAUGAUUCUGCUCCUCCUGUAGUAUUAAAUAUGGAGAAUAAUCUUUUACCUGGUGAAAGACUGGAAGAUGGUAGAGACAAUAAGUUGAGUUCAUUGAUGGAUUCUAAGGUUGCUGAUUCUGUUACGUCCAUGAAGCAUCUUAUUGCGGCUGCUCAAGCAAAAAGAAGACAAGCUCACACGCAAAACAUUUCUCAUGGCCAUCCUGAUUCCUUUUUGGCACUUGCUAAUGAUCUGCCUGGGAGGUACCCCAGCCCCGCCUCUGCAGUUCAGCCCUUUUUAUCUGGCUCCAGUGACAUGAUGCAACCAGAUAUACAGGGUUAUUAUCCUCGCACAUCUUUAGCUUCUCCAUCUACUCAUGGUCACGAGUAUUCUUCAAAUAAUCUACCUGAUGCUGAAGAGCUUGAGGAGAGAAGAGUUAGUUCAGGACAUCGGAAUGCUGGGGGUUCACUGAGUGGUGGUACUGAGGCAGCUGUUGCUCGUGAUGCUUUUGAAGGAAUGAUAGAGACACUUUCAAGGACUAAAGAAAGUAUUGGACGUGCAACUCGUCUUGCAAUUGACUGUGCAAAGUAUGGCAUUGCAAAUGAGGUUGUGGAACUUCUCAUCCGGAAGUUGGAAAGUGAGCCUAGUUUUCAUCGCAAAGUGGACCUAUUUUUUCUUGUGGAUUCUAUUACUCAAUGCUCGCAUAGUCAUAAAGGUAUUGCUGGUGCCUCGUAUAUCCCAACAGUGCAAGCUGCUUUACCUCGUCUUUUAGGAGCCGCUGCUCCACCUGGGGCUUCUGCUCGUGAAAAUCGUCGUCAAUGUCUCAAGGUUUUGCGAUUAUGGCUUGAGAGGAAGAUCUUACCUGAAUCUCUUCUUCGGCGCUAUAUGGAUGACAUUGGAGUUACGAAUGAUGAUACAUCUGCUGGUCUUUUCCUCAGGCGUCCCUCUCGUGCUGAGCGUGCUGUAGAUGAUCCAAUUAGAGAGAUGGAAGGCAUGCUUGUUGAUGAGUAUGGGAGCAAUGCUACUUUUCAGUUACCCGGCCUUUUAUCUUCUCAUGUAUUUGAAGAAGAAGACGAAGAAGAGGAGGAUGAUCUUCGAAUUAGUUUAUGUAAAGAAGAUGUUGAUGGAUCGCCAAUAGCAGCAACCCCUGCUAUAGGAGAGCCUGAAACGUGUACAGUCACUCCAAAUGACAGACGCCACUGCAUCUUAGAGGACGUGGAUGGUGAGCUUGAAAUGGAAGAUGUAUCUGGACAUCCAAAGGAUGAAAGAUCUUUGUUUACAAGCGAUUCUUUUGAAAUUGAUUCACAGCAGGAAGGUUCUGAUAGGAUCUUGGAAGCAGCAUCAACCAAUUCCACUCAAUGCCCACCUUUACCUGAGGGGUCCCCCCCCUUGCCUUUUGAUUCUCCUCCUACAACCCCGCCUCUGCCGCCUUCACCACCACCACCGCUACCUUCACCUCCACCUCCUCCACCAUUAUCCCCAUCCCCACCACCACCCCCACCCCCACCCCCACCACUUCCAUUGCAGCCCCAUCCACUUGCUUUACCACCUUCAGGCCCUCCACCAUCAUUGCAUCCUCAAUCCUUACCACCUCAACCUUCAAUGAUGUCACAGCACUUACAUCUCCCUCAAUCACCAAAAUUGCCUUAUCAAGCGCCUAUAUUACAUGAACAUUGCAGCACACCUAAUGAGGGUCAUAUUGAUGCUGCUGUUAGAAGUGAAACAUUUCCGCAGCAACCAACUUGCAUUGUGCCAGCUGGAGUCUGCAAUUCAAGGGAAUCUUCCGGAUUCAAUUUUUCCGGAUCAUCUGAUUAUGGACAUAGUGACUUGUAUGCAAAUCCCCAUGCUUCUCAGCCCAAGCAGCAUACUCAACCUGGUAAUGCACCUUUUGUACAAAGACCUUUCCAUCCCACCCCGCCUCCUCAAACCCCAUCCGGUCAUUACUCGUAUUCAAAUCCCCCAAUGCAGCAACAUCCACAGCAUCCUUACCCCAGACCAUACUCAUUGCCAAACCUUCAUGACGGGCCAAGGCGAUAUGCUGCUGAUGAACAAUGGAGGGUGUCCACAAGUGAGUUUAACACCGAUAAUCAGCGUGCUGUGUGGAUGAAUGGAGGGAGAACUCCAUCAUGUUCUGGCCCAUCCUUUCCACAGGAGGGUUAUUUUCGGCCAUCUAUUGAAAGGCCGCCCACAAAUAAUGUUGGUUUCCAGCCCUCUGGCCCACACACGCUGCCAGCUGGUGCUCCAAUUCCAGGUCACGGUGUUUCUCAGAUGAUGCCUAGUAGACCAGACAUAUCUGCCCUUAAUUGUUGGAGGCCAGUUUAAGAGUCAUCCUGGAGCUAAGUUAUUUUUCGCCGUGCAGUGGGCAGUUUUUCAAGUAGGGAAUUUACAUUCAUAUUGAUCUAAAGAAAGAUUCAGCUUUGGUUUAAAUUUAACCACCCAUAAAUGGAGGUGUUGAGAACUUCUGAAGACCCUUGGCAGGAUUGGAUAUUGUAAUUUCCCCAACAAAUGCAUCCUGCAGACAUUUGCACCAAGUGUUGUGAUUCUUCUUUUUCUUCUGGCGGGGUGAUUUGGUUAUUCAUAUUUCUGAUAUGAUGUUCAAGUCCCCUCACUUUCUACAACCUGAACGGAAACUGUGAAGUUGCAGAGGAAGACUUAAGUUAGCCUAGUAAUGGAGUAUCACUUCUAGUGUCUGGCUACUUUAGCUAGUUAUAGAUAUUUAUGAUGUCUAUUUUCUUACACUUUGUCAUAAAAUGAUAUAAAUUUGGGAACGCUAUGGAUGAGCACCCGAUAGAAUUUUAGGUUUUGGGGAAUUUGGCAGAUUUCUUCACUCAGGCCUUGUUGUCACCACCUUGUCAUUGUCAUCGUCAUCAGAUUUUGGCAAAAGUUUCUCUGGUUCUGUGGAUCACCUGUCCUUUAGAAUGAUUGUCUUCAAAGCAUUCAUUACCUAUAUGGAGAUGGAUUUCGAAAUGGACUUAAAUUGCUUUCUUCUUGACCUCAAGCAUCCGCUGUUAUAGGCCAGGCUACAUAAGGUAACAGAGCCUAAACAAGAUUUAAAUGUAGCCUCAGCAGAGUUAACUUUUUUGUGAUGGACAUGCAUGCUUGAUCCUUAAUAUAUAUAUAUAUAUAUAUAUAUAUAUAUAUAUAUAUUUGAUUGGCAGUCACAAGUUUUUCAACACUUACACUGCGUAAUUCUGCAAUUGCUUUUAGUGGAAAAAGGGGCUUCUAAUACAAUUUUCAAUAUGUUAUGGGUUAACGAGCGUUGUUGAGCUCGAGUGAGGUUGAUUUGUGCCGAGUUCAGAUUGGGAUUCCUAAAUGUUGGUUGACUCAACUCGCUUGAGUUGUAGAAAGUGGGUUAUUUUUUACCAAUCGAAUUCAAAUGGUCAAAAUGUAAUUCCAAACCCAGAGAGAUUGAUGUUUUUGUCAAAAUGUCGGGACAGUCCGGAUUUUAUUUUCAUGUCACAAGGAUAGAGAACAAAGGGAAAAUAAUAUUCUCAUUGGUCGUGAUUAUUUUUUUUGACUUUUAUCAUAUUUUGUUAUAUUAUUUUAA